GUGGGGUGAUGGCCUACCAAGGCGACGACGGGUAGCCGGCCUGAGAGGGUGAUCGGCCACACUGGGACUGAGACACGGCCCAGACUCCUACGGGAGGCAGCAGUGGGGAAUAUUGCACAAUGGGCGGAAGCCUGAUGCAGCGACGCCGCGUGGGGGAUGACGGCCUUCGGGUUGUAAACCUCUUUCAGCAGGGAAGAAGCGGAAGUGACGGUACCUGCAGAAGAAGCACCGGCUAACUACGUGCCAGCAGCCGCGGUAAUACGUAGGGUGCGAGCGUUGUCCGGAUUUAUUGGGCGUAAAGAGCUUGUAGGCGGUUUGUCGCGUCUGCUGUGAAAAUCCGGGGCUUAACCCCGGACUUGCAGUGGGUACGGGCAGGCUGGAGUGUGGUAGGGGAGACUGGAAUUCCUGGUGUAGCGGUGGAGUGCGCACAUAUCAAGAGGAACACCGAUGGGGAAGGCAGGUCUCUGGGCCAUUACUGACGCUGAGAAGCGAAAGCAUGGGGAGCGAACAGGAUUAGAUACCCUGGUAGUCCAUGCCGUAAACGUUGGGCGCUAGGUGUGGGGUCCGUUCCACGGGUUCCGUGCCGCAGCUAACGCAUUAAGCG
rnacentral:rRNA from 1 species